rnacentral:ncRNA from 2 species
UUUCUUUAAUGGAUUACAUAUUCCGGGGAUUUCUAGGGAACCAGGUGAGAAUCCUGGACGGUCCGGCCACUGUGACUGGUUAACCUCGGUUAGCCAGAUAGUCAGGAACCAGACCCGAAUGCUUCAUACGGUAAAG